GUCCCUGUAGCGUUAUGGAGAUCGCGUUGGACUUCUAAUCCAAAGGUAGUGGGUGCGAAUCCUACCUGGGAUG